rnacentral:rRNA from 1 species
UACGUAGGGGGCAAGCGUUGUCCGGAAUCAUUGGGCGUAAAGAGCUCGUAGGUGGUCUGUUACGUCUGCUGUGAAAUCCUAGGGCUUAACCCUGGGCCUGCAGUGGAUACGGGCAGACUAGAGGUAGGUAGGGGAGAAUGGAAUUCCCGGUGUAGCGGUGAAAUGCGCAGAUAUCGGGAGGAACACCGGUGGCGAAGGCGGUUCUCUGGGCCUUACCUGACACUGAGGAGCGAAAGCGUGGGGAGCGAACAGG